UUUCAGCUAGACAUUGAGCAGAGAAAACGAAAAUCCUAACGGAAGGAAACAGGGGCUUCAAAGUGAAGACUUUGAACCUUGUUGAGAUGUCUUUCGAUUAUGCUGGAAAGAAGGACAAUGACCAAUAAGUAACGUCCGGUUUUAUAAGAAAACAAAAUCGUGGAAAGCCCUUACCUCCCGGAAGAAAAGAUAUCCCGGAUGCUUCCUAAAACGUUCACGAACAAGUAGUGGUUCUCUAUGUAAAGAGAAAAAAACUCGAGAAAGCUAUCGCCAGCAGUUUCAAACGAACUUUUCCUGAU